ACUUGAAAAAGGCAAACUUAUUGAAAGAUAAGGGCGCAAAGCUGCGGGUCUAAAGUUUACGGUCAGUGAACAAUGAUAGCCGGGCUGCCAAA
rnacentral:ncRNA from 1 species